UUUUGUGGGGUGCUCGAGUGGCGAACGGGUGAGUAACACGUGAGUAACCUGCCCUUGACUUUGGGAUAACUUCAGGAAACUGGGGCUAAUACCGGAUAGGAGCUCCUGCUGCAUGGUGGGGGUUGGAAAGUUUCGGCGGUUGGGGAUGGACUCGCGGCUUAUCAGCUUGUUGGUGGGGUAGUGGCUUACCAAGGCUUUGACGGGUAGCCGGCCUGAGAGGGUGACCGGCCACGUUGGGACUGAGAUACGGCCCAG
rnacentral:rRNA from 1 species